CUGAGACUCAAGGUCAGAAAAGACAACAGAUGAUGAAGAGGAAGGGCCAAUGAUGUGAAGGCCCAGAUCCAUCAGAGUAUCAAUGUUCUUCCUCUCUCUCCUCCCCUCUCACUGCAGACAUGAACCACUGGCUGAGAAACAUCCUGAUUCUGACUCUCUGGCUAGAGUGUAAAGGAGAAGACAGAGUGACCCAGCCAGCAGGAGAUGUCAUUGCUGCUGAAGGAGACACAGUUACACUUGGCUGUACUUUUGAGACCAGUGACCCAGGUCCAACUUUGUUCUGGUACAAACAGGAUGGAAACAACAGCCCCAAAUUCAUGUUGAGCCGCAUGCAAGGGGUCGAAGUAAAAACAGAGGCUGAGUUUAAGGAGAGAUUUUCAUCCACACUGGAUUCCACCUCAAGAUCAGUUCCUCUGAAGAUCCAGAAGCUUCAGCUGUCUGACUCUGCUGUGUACUACUGUGCUCUUGUGGACCCUGAGUCAACCCAGGAGCUGAGUUCAAAGUUUGGUACAGCCAGACCUCCCAACAGUUUGGGUCGUUGCAGUGUGGUCAGGCGGAUUCUGGGCCGUUUCUCAUCCCAUAUGAAGUUGGAAACCAUAGAGUGGAUAUCUUUGAAAUAA